rnacentral:rRNA from 1 species
ACGAAGCGACGCCGCGUGUGGGAAGAAGGCCUUCGGGUUGUAAACCACUGUCGGGAGUUAGGAAAUGCAGGUGCGUUAAUAGCGCACUUGCUUGACUAAGGCUCCAGAGGAAGCCACGGCUAACUCUGUGCCAGCAGCCGCGGUAAUACAGAGGCGGCAAGCGUUGUUCGGAAUUAUUGGGCGUAAAGAGCACGUAGGCGGCCUUGCAAGUCAGUUGUGAAAGCCUUCCGCUUAACGGAAGAACGGCAUCUGAUACUACAGGGCUUGAGUACGGGAGGGGAGAGUGGAACUUCUGGUGGAGCGGUGAAAUGCGUAGAUAUCAGAAGGAACGCCGGCGGCCAAAGCGACUCUCUGGUCCGAAACUGACGCGGAGUGUGCGAAAGCUAGGGGAGCAAACGGGAUUAGAUACCCCGGUAGUCCUAGCUGUAAACGAUGGGCA